rnacentral:lncRNA from 1 species
CUGUGAGGUUAUGUUAUUCCAGAAGGAGCCAGAGUGAGCCGCCCGUCACAUUUUUACUUUAAGAGGCGUCCUCAUACUCACUUUGAUUCUCACCCUACACGCACCCAAGGUAUCAUUAACUUCGCUUUACAGGUGCUGAGGUCGCACCACGGUCAGGGAUGCCAGACCCUGGAGAAGCCAGGUGGCGUGCUGCCUCCCUGCCACCCACUCGCUUUGCUCUUCCUGGUCCUCACUACGUUGUCAAACGCCGGGGAGCCGGGCUGCAGAGGCGCGGAGGCCUGGGCUGAGGCGAGGUGUGGAGGCGGCCGGAGGCCACAGAGGCCGGAAGUGCGGGCCGGAGCGCUCCGGUGCUGCGCCGCGAUGGCGAGAAUGCUGGCCGUCCGGGUGGCGGCGGGGCUGGCGGCCG